GCCAUCAUUUAAAGAAAGCGUAAUAGCUCACUGGUCGAGUCGGCCUGCGCGGAAGAUGUAACGGGGCUAAACCAUGCACCGAAGCUGCGGCAGCGACGCUUAUGCGUUGUUGGGUAGGGGAGCGUUCUGUAAGCCUGCGAAGGUGUGCUGUGAGGCAUGCUGGAGGUAUCAGAAGUGCGAAUGCUGACAUAAGUAACGAUAAAGCGGGUGAAAAGCCCGCUCGCCGGAAGACCAAGGGUUCCUGUCCAACGUUAAUCGGGGCAGGGUGAGUCGACCCCUAAGGCGAGGCCGAAAGGCGUAGUCGAUGGGAAACAGGUUAAUAUUCCUGUACUUGGUGUUACUGCGAAGGGGGGACGGAGAAGGCUAUGUCAGCCGGGCGACGGUUGUCCCGGUUUAAGCAUGUAGGCGGAGGUUCCAGGUAAAUCCGGUACCUUUUAACGCUGAGGUGUGAUGACGAGGCACUACGGUGCUGAAGUGAUAAAUGCCCUGCUUCCAGGAAAAGCCUCUAAGCAUCAGGUAACAUCAAAUCGUACCCCAAACCGACACAGGUGGUCAGGUAGAGAAUACCAAGGCGCUUGAGAGAACUCGGGUGAAGGAACUAGGCAAAAUGGUGCC
rnacentral:rRNA from 1 species